CGGACGGGUGAGUAAUGUCUGGGAAACUGCCCGAUGGAGGGGGAUAACUACUGGAAACGGUAGCUAAUACCGCAUAAUGUCUACGGACCAAAGCGGGGGACCUCCGGGCCUCGCGCCAUCAGAUGAACCCAUAUGGGAUUAGCUUGUAGGUAAGGUAACGGCUUACCUAGGCGACGAUCCCUAGCUGGUCUGAGAGGAUGAUCAGCCACACUGGGACUGAGACACGGCCCAG
rnacentral:rRNA from 1 species